UUUAUGCACGUGGUAGGAGAGCGUUCUAGCGGCGGUGAAGCAUGACCGAGAGGACAUGUGGAGCUUCUAGAAGUGAGAAUGCCGGUAUGAGUAACGAAAGACAGGUGAGAAUCCUGUCCGCCGCAAGACUAAGGUUUCCUGGGGCAGGCUCGUCCGCCCAGGGUAAGUCGGGACCUAAGGCGAGGCCGAGAGGCGUAGUCGAUGGACAACAGGUUGAAAUUCCUGUACUGCACCGAAUCGUUAUGAGCGAUGGAGGGACGCAGGAGGCUAGCAGCGCGUGGUGCUGGAUACCACGUUCAAGCGUCAAGUCUGAGAGCGAGUCAAAUGCUUGCUCUCAUAAGGACAAGGCGUGAUGAGGAGCGAAAUUAAAGUAGCGAAGGCUGCGACGUCACACUGCCGAGAAAAGCUUCUAGCCAGAGACGGUGCACCCGUACCGCAAACCGACACAGGUAGUCGAGGAGAGUAUCCUCAGGUGAGCGAGAGAACUCUCGUUAAGGAACUCGGCAAAAUGGCCCCGUAACUUCGGGAGAAGGGGCGCUGGUCGCAAGAUCAGCCGCAGUGAAAAGGCCCAAGCAACUGUUUAUCAAAAACACAGGCAUCUGCAAAAUCGUAAGAUGAAGUAUAGGUGCUGACACCUGCCCGGUGCUGGAAGGUUAAGAGGAGAGCUUAGCGCAAGCGAAGGUUUGAAUUGAAGCCCCAGUAAACGGCGGCCGUAACUAUAACGGUCCUAAGGUAGCGAAAUUCCUUGUCGGGUAAGUUCCGACCUGCACGAAAGGUGUAAUGAUUUGGGCACUGUCUCAACGAGAGACUCGGUGAAAUUAUAAUACCCGUGAAGAUGCGGGUUACCCGCGACAGGACGGAAAGACCCCAUGGAGCUUUACUGCAGUUUAAUAUUGGGUAUCUGUCAAGCAUGUACAGGAUAGGUAGGAGCCGGAGAAGAUAGGACGCCAGUCUUAUCAGAGGCGCUGUUGGGAUACUACCCUUGCUUGACGGAUGCUCUAACUCAGGCCUGUGAUCCAGGCCGAGGACAGUGUUUGACGGGCAGUUUGACUGGGGCGGUCGCCUCCUAAAGUGUAACGGAGGCGCCCAAAGGUUCCCUCAGAAUGGUUGGAAAUCAUUCGCAGAGUGUAAAGGUAAAAGGGAGCUUGACUGCGAGAGAGACAACUCGAGCAGGUACGAAAGUAGGGCUUAGUGAUCUGGUGGUACCGUAUGGAAGGGCCAUCACUCAACGGAUAAAAGCUACCCUGGGGAUAACAGGCUUAUCUCCCCCAAGAGUUCACAUCGACGGGGAGGUUUGGCACCUCGAUGUCGGCUCGUCGCAUCCUGGGGCUGAAGUCGGUCCCAAGGGUUGGGCUGUUCGCCCAUUAAAGCGGCACGCGAGCUGGGUUCAGAACGUCGUGAGACAGUUCGGUCCCUAUCCGUCGUGGGCGUAGGAAAUUUGAGAGGAGCUGUCCUUAGUACGAGAGGACCGGGAUGGACGCACCGCUGGUGUACCAGUUGUCUUGCCAAAGGCAUCGCUGGGUAGCUAUGUGCGGACGGGAUAAGCGCUGAAAGCAUCUAAGUGCGAAGCCCCCCUCAAGAUGAGAUUUCCCAUUUCUUCAAGAAAGUAAGACACCUCAGAGACGAUGAGGUAGAUAGGCCGGGAGUGGAAGAGCCGUGAGGCUUGGAGCGGACCGGUACUAAUCAGUCGAGGACUUGACCAAAA
rnacentral:rRNA from 1 species